GACGAACGCUGGCGGCGUGCUUAACACAUGCAAGUCGAACGAAGAGCGAUGGAAGCUUGCUUCUAUCAAUCUUAGUGGCGAACGGGUGAGUAACGCGUAAUCAACCUGCCCUUCAGAGGGGGACAACAGUUGGAAACGACUGCUAAUACCGCAUACGAUCCAAUCUCGGCAUCGGGACUGGAUGAAAGGUGGCCUCUAUUUAUAAGCUAUCACUGAAGGAGGGGAUUGCGUCUGAUUAGCUAGUUGGAGGGGUAACGGCCCACCAAGGCGAUGAUCAGUAGGCGGUCUGAGAGGAUGUACGGCCACAUUGGGACUGAGACACGGCCCAGACUCCUACGGGAGGCAGCAGUGGGGAAUCUUCCGCAAUGGACGAAAGUCUGACGGAGCAACGCCGCGUGAGUGAUGACGGCCUUCGGGUUGUAAAGCUCGGUUAAUCGGGACGAAUGGUUCUUGUGCGAAUAGUGCGAGGAUUUGACGGUACCGGAAUAGAAAGCCACGGCUAACUACGUG
rnacentral:rRNA from 1 species